UACGAAGGGGGCUAGCGUUGUUCGGAUUUACUGGGCGUAAAGCGCACGUAGGCGGAUUCUUAAGUCAGGGGUGAAAUCCCGAGGCUCAACCUCGGAACUGCCUUUGAUACUGAGGAUCUCGAGUUCGGGAGAGGUGAGUGGAAUUGCGAGUGUAGAGGUGAAAUUCGUAGAUAUUCGCAAGAACACCAGUGGCGAAGGCGGCUCACUGGCCCGAUACUGACGCUGAGGUGCGAAAGCGUGGGGAGCAAACAGG
rnacentral:rRNA from 1 species